AUUCAAACGGGGACUUAUUCCAUUCAGUAUCAUGUUUAUCAUAGAGAUUGUAUAACAAAUUAUACUUUACACUUCUAUAUUUAGCUGUGCAGGUAUAUUCCUUAUUUUUGCUUCUGGUGUCUUCUGCCUUUCUAUUAGAAACGUUUACCUGGGAAUUUACUUAAAAAUAAAUUGCCUUUGUCUCCAUUGGG